AAGGGUUGGUCUGUUCGCCCAUUAAAGCGGCACGCGAGCUGGGUUUAGAACGUCGCGAGACAGUUCGGUCCCUAUCUGCUGUAGGCGUUUGAGAUUUGCGGGAAUCUGCUCUUAGUACGAGAGGACCAGAGUGGACGAACCUCUAGUGUGCCAGUUGUCGCGCCAGCGGCAUUGCUGGGUAGCUACGUUCGGCUUGGAUAACCGCUGAAAGCAUCUAAGCGGGAAACCAAUCCCAAGAUUAGAUCUCACGCACUAUGUGCCUAAAGACCCCUUGGAGAUUACAAGGUUGAUAGGUCGGGGGUGGAAGCGUGGUAACACGUGUAGCUUACCGAUACUAAUAGGUCGUGAGGCUUGACCAC
rnacentral:rRNA from 1 species